rnacentral:lncRNA from 1 species
CUCGGCUUUCUCUCGGCCUUAGCGCCAUUUUUUUGGAAACCUCUGCGCCAUGAGAGCCAAGUGGAGGAAGAAGCGAAUGCGCAGUCAGGCUGAAGCGCAAAAGAAGAAAGAUGAGGCAGAGGUCCAAGUAAACCGCUAGCUUGUUGCACCGUGGUGGCCACAGGAGCAGAAACAUGGAAUGCCAGACGCUGGGGAUGCUGGUACAAGUUGUGGGACUGCAUGCUACUGUCUAGAGCUUGUCUCAAUGGAUCUAGAACUUCAUCGCCCUCUGAUCGCCGAUCACCUCUGAGACCCACCUUGCUCAUAAACAAAAUGCCCAUGUUGGUCCUCUGCCCUGGACCUGUGACAUUCUGGACUAUUUCUGUGUUUAUUUGUGGCCGAGU